rnacentral:tRNA from 1 species
GAGCAGUAGCAGAGUGGUGUUGUUGCUGGUGGGGAACCAGGAGAUCUUGGGUUCGAAUCCCCCCAUUCA